GCUCCGCCACCUCUCCACAGUUAUUCUUAUCAUUUCAUCCCCCUUUCCACCCGGUUUCUAGCACAACCUUGUCACGAUGGGUGAAAUGGCUGUUGUCCCAGUAAGGUAUUGAUACCACGGUCUUUGGCGCCCAUUUGGUCCGGGGGGCCUCAGCCUCUUCGAUGAUGACUGCAGGUGCGCGCCUGGAGGACAUUAUGAGGACGGCCGACUGGUCAAGG